AUUCCAGCUCCAAUAACGUAUAUUAAAGUUGUUGCGGUUAAAAAGCUCGUAGUUGGAUUUCUGUCGAAAGUGGCCGGUCCCCACUCUGUGGGCGUAUCUGGUUCGCUUUUGGCAUCCUCCUGUGCUCGUUCUGUCCUUCACUGGAUGGAGCGGAACGCAGGACUUUUACUUUGAGGAAAUUCGAGUGUUCACAGCAGGCAAUCGCCCUGAAGAUAUUGGCAUGGAAUAAUAAUAUAGGACUUUGGUUUUAUUUUGUUGGUUUCUAAGGCCGAAGUAAUGAUUAAUAGGGAUAUUUGGGGGCAUUCGUAUUAAGCGGUCAGAGGUGGAAUUCUUGGAUUCGCUUACGACGAACUACUGCGAAAGCAUUUGUCAAGAAUGUUUUCAUUA
rnacentral:rRNA from 1 species